rnacentral:rRNA from 1 species
GAUGAACGCUGGCGGCGUGCCUAAUACAUGCAAGUCGAGCGAACAGACGAGGAGCUUGCUCCUCUGACGUUAGCGGCGGACGGGUGAGUAACACGUGGAUAACCUACCUAUAAGACUGGGAUAACUUCGGGAAACCGGAGCUAAUACCGGAUCAUAUAUUGAACCGCAUGGUUCAAUAGUUCAAGACGGCUUUGCUGUCACUUAUAGCUGGAUCCGCGCCGCAUUAGCUAGUUGGUAAGGUAACGGCUUACCAAGGCAACGAUGCGUAGCUGACCUGAGAGGGUGAUCGGCCACACUGGAACUGAGACACGGUCCAGACUCCUACGGGAGGCAGCAGUAGGGAAUCUUGCGCAAUGGGCGAAAGCCUGACGGAGCAACGCCGCGUGAGUGAUGAAGGUCUUCGGAUCGUAAAACUCUGUUAUUAGGGAAGAACAAAUGUGUAAGUAACUAUGCACGUCUUGACGGUACCUAAUCAGAAAGCCACGGCUAACUACGUG